UCGCUGCCCAGGUUUCCUGUCCUUGAGGACCCGGGCCUGGCGUGCCUGGGACGUCAAUUCGGCAUCUUGUGUUCUCUUCUGGCAUCCAUGAAACAGUGACAGGCCCCACAGACCCUUCACAGAUCCUGAAACUACUCGUCUGCCUAAGAGAAUCACGACACUGUUGGCAUAAUCUUCACCUCCUUAUGCUUUCCCUUCCAUGAAGCUGAGAAAGAGGAUGAGUCAAGUAACAUAAUAAACUUCUGAGAAGUGAUCAAGUCCUUGACUGGGAGAAUAACCAUCAUCAUGACACAGUCUCCAUGAGAAAAUUCAGAUUCAUCUUAUGUACUUCAAAUCACAUGCCUUUUCCAGGAAUGCAGCCUCCUAUAGCACCAUCUGGAUGUGGCAAAGUAUACAGCCUGUGGGAUUAAUUGACCAAAGAAGAAUGUUAGAAUUCCAGCUAAUUCAUGAAGUGUCCUUGGGAAGAUCACUUAUUUUCUCUAGGCUUCUGCAAAAUGGCAGCUUUUUAAUGAAAUCAUCUUCUGGGAUCUUAAAGGUUCUGUUUGAAUCCUUGGAAUCAAGACAACAGGAAGAAAGAAUGCUGCAGAUCACUGCAGAGAGACAGAAGAGGCUUUGGCCAAAAAGUUUUUUGGAGUUUUUGUUUCUUAUUUUUUGGUUUUUUUUUUGUUGUUGUUGUGUGUGUGUGUGUUUUUUUUUUUUUUAGUUACUAAAGCUCUGUAAAUAAAUAGAUAGCACUGAUUUACAUUUAGAAUUUUCCCCAGAUGAAUAUCUACAAAUCUGGUUGGUCUUGGUAGUAAUUAAAAAAUGGACAGUGAAAUUUUACUAGGUUUGGGCUUUGUUUUGUUUUGUUUUGCUUUGAGGAGGGAGAGAGUAUUAUGAUUGGGAUAAUAUAUUGGGCAAAAUGCUUAAUUGCAAUCUACAGAACCCACGUCUGCAAAUUUGAGCAGAAAAGGAAUUGAUGCAAGGAUAUUAGGCAGUUCACAGAAUAUCUGGCAGGGCCAGAGGACCCAACAACAAAUCUGAACAUCCAUGAGCAAUGAUCAACCACUCCUUUUCUGGCAGAAACACCACUGACACUUGGCACCAGUGCUGCUCAGAACUGGAUUCCAGAAGCACUGCCACUCCCUGCUCCCAAGAAAUGAAUCCCUCCCCCACCUGGCCUGCCCCCAAACCGAGGUGCAGUUGCUUCCUCACAUGCUCUCUCCAGAUCUGUCUCCAAAAGAUAGUUCCUCUGGUUAGAGGAAGCUAGGUCACAUGCCUGCCCCCUUCUUCAGGGAGUCUGAGAUUGCAAGUUUUUGGCUUCCUCUUUGGGAAGGUGAGACGUAUAAUGUGGGAAAUUAUCACAAUGUAAGGAGAGUGCUCAAAGCUGUCAGGUAGAUCAAGUGAUGAAUGUAUAUUACAGGGUUAAUCAUUUUGAGUGUUCUCUGUACACUGAUUGUGGAUUUCUGUCCCAGAGGAGAAAUUUCUUGCUGCCAAUUUCUCAGCUCUCUGGAGAUGGACUCCAUAUUCCUCAGAUCCCAAGAUUUUUCAAACCCUUUGCUGCCACAAAGAAAAUUUGCCAUUCUUCAAAUAUGUAGCCCUACUUCCUUCAUUUCUCCCUUCCCCAGCAUACCAGCAUAUACCCAGUGUUAGGAGGGGAUAUUGAGAUGAUAAAAAUAAAACUGAUAGAAGUGUGGGUGAGAGAGAGCAUGUGUGUGUGUGUGUGUGUGUGUGUGUGUGUGUGUGUGUGUGUGUAGGUGUGUGUGUAUGUGUGUACUAGAUACAGUGGAAGAACUCAUGACCUCACCUCUGGUUUAUGGUUAUAUAUAAUUGUAACAAAAUAGAAAGGAGUACCAUUGUUUCUUAGAAAUUUGAUGGCAUAGGAGGAAAAUAGGAUGGAUGGGUAGGAUAAUUGGAAAAUGCCUUGUAAUGCAAAGAAAAUAAAUAAUUUCACCAUUAUUAGGCAUGUGAUUCAAGACAGAAUGCUAAUUACUCACUCUGAUUGGAAAUAUAAUGAUUAAAAUGGUCAGUGUUCCCAAAUGAUAACUGUAGAGUAGUUAUUUGGGAAGAAAAUAAAAUUUUUUCAGUGGUAUAUUUAGAAAUCUUAUCAAUCUUUGACAUUCAUAGCUAAGAAAAGAUUCAGUCUGUUUUGUUAAAUCUAAUUGUAGGCCAAAUAAUUAGUGUAUGAAGAGAAUUAGUGAAGAUAUGGCAAGGUAAUCACAAACCAGGUUUGAAUAACUGAUUUUACUAAUGGUGAGUUUCUCUCUGAAUAAUCUGUAUCCACUGGAAAUUUUAUCUAAUCCUAUUUAAUAUAUUUUACAAUACCUUUUAAAAUUACAAAUAUAGUAUGCUCAGUGGGAAAAAAAUUGGAAAUACAGAUAAUUAGGAAAAGGAAGAAAAGAAAAUCUUAUCACCUCUUAUGUAUUAUUAGUCUGCUUGGGCUGCCAUAACAAAAUGCGACAGACUGGGUGGGUUAACAACCGGAAUUUAUUUUCUCACAGUUCUGGAGACCAGAAAUCCCAUUAUCAAGGUGCUGGCCAACUUGGUUCCUGGUCAGCCCUCUCCCCUUGGUUUAGAUGGCUGCCUUCUCACAGUGUCCUCAGAUGAAGUGAGAACAGGCUUUCUGGUGUCUCUCCCUACAAUGACCUCAUCUAGCCCGAAUUACUCCAAUGUCCCAUCUCCAAAUACCAUCACAUUGGAGGUUAGGGCUUUAACAUAUACAUCUUGGGGGGAGACACAAACAUUUAGCCCAUAACAUCACAAUUCAGAAUAUAAACCCUCUUGAAUUUCAAUUAUGUUUUUUGCAUAAGAACAAAAACAAAUACUGUAAAAAAUGAAAAUAUACUGAUUUGUACUCUCUGUUUUUCAUUUACUAUAUUCUGAGAAUAAAUUUCCUCUUAAUUGUGUAAUUACAUAAUUAAAUAUGUAAAAUAUUUUAAGUGUCUUUAAAUAUUAUUCUAUAGCAUUAGGGUUAAUAAUAGCAUAGAAUUCCUC
rnacentral:lncRNA from 1 species